AUCCAACUGAAAAGUCCCUGAACAGUACGAAACGCGAGUCCUGGAU
rnacentral:hammerhead_ribozyme from 1 species